GAUCAUGGCUCAGGAUGAACGCUGGCGGCGUGCUUAACACAUGCAAGUCGAACGAAGCAUGAGAAUGGAAUUCUUCGGAAAGAAGUUUUUAUGACUGAGUGGCGGACGGGUGAGUAACGCGUGGGUAACCUGCCUUUUACAGGGGGACAACAGCUGGAAACGGCUGCUAAUACCGCAUAACCCGCUAGUACCGCAUGGUACAGACGGAAAAGGAGAAAUCCGGUAAAAAGNUGGACCCGCGUCUGAUUAG
rnacentral:rRNA from 1 species